AUGCAGCUGCUGGAGGGGUUCGGGGACGCGACGGGGCUGCGCCGCAACCCUCAAAAGUCGUCGGCGGCAGCACUAAACUGCGGCAGCGUGGACCUCAUAGACGUGCUCCGAAACUUUGGCGGCGCCACAGUGGGCUUCCCGAUCAGAUAUCUAGGCCUCCCACUAUGCAUCGGCAGGCUACGGCUAGUGAAUAUUCAGUACCUACUCGACCGCAUCCGCGCAAGAUUGGCGGCUUGGAAGGACCGGCUCCUGCCGAUCGCCGGGCGCCGCGUACUCGUCAGGUCCAUCCUAUUAGCGCUGCCAGCCUUCGCCAUGGCGGUGCUGCGAAUCCCAAAGAAAUUCUACAAGGAUGUAGACAAAGCGCGGCGUCGGUUUUUGUGGGCACAGGACGAAGAGGUCACCGGAGGGAAAUGCAAAGUGAGCUGGCAGCUUGUCACAUCUCCGGUCGAGCACGGCGGCCUCGGCAUCCACAACAUGGAGCGUCUCGCCGCGCCCUGCGCCUCCGCUGGCUUUGGCUCGCGUGGAUGGACCCGGCCAGGCCAUGGACGCAGCUGGAGAUGCCCUGCGACGACAAGGAUAGAGCGCUCUUCGCCUUGGAAACGAGAGUGA
rnacentral:rRNA from 1 species